CAUGCUCCAGCAUAAAUCAUGUUCUGUUGCAGCACCUUUGAUUCAUGGAUGUACGAUAGGCCUGAAGCUUGAGCAGUUCAUAUUCGACAUAUCCAUUUAAUCCCUGUGCAUGACACUUUUUGAGGUGCUACACGAAGAGGAAUUUGCGCCAGUGAAGAACGCGAAUGGCACAACCUAUGACACCUGAUGCUACUCCAACUGCAUAGCGGAUGGGUAAUUUCUCACCAUUUCCUGUACCCAGAAACUUGUAGAAUUAAAUUACAAGUCAGGCCUUUCAACAUAGAACUUUUAUGAUCAUGUUUCUCAUGAUCCCUUUCCAUCAUAAGCUUCGAGGUUUCCUCCUGGAGAAAGCCUUGAGACGAUUUUUCACGGACGAGGAUUCCACAUGCCCGGUGAGAUUUCGCUAUAGGCGUAUCAUGUCAUGGCAGCAGCAACAUCAAAUGGGAGAUGGAACGUUGCAUAGGGAUUGCAAGGCCGAAACCUUGGGAUAGAUUGGGUUUCGACUUACAUGUUACAGGAUAUGCGUAGACGUAAGUUUGACUUUCAGAUAAUACAUGCCAAACACUUUUAAAGUUGUGUCGUGCAUGACAGUGGAAACAUCUGUGUAUUGCACAGGAUCCUACAGAGCAGAUGCGCACAUGUAUGUGUGGAGACUCUGAAAAGAUGAACACAUGUAUGUGUCCGGUUAUUCUGAAGCUAUUUAAUAUAUUAGUUGUGUCAAGAGGUCAAGUCCAGGUUCCUCAUGUCAAGUCUAUAAGUUUCACUCGAAAGAAUAAAAUGCUCUCAAGGGUCGUACUGAAAAAAGAACUACAUUAGCAAGUUGAUUCAAUAAUCCAUCCUCUGUUUUGCACCUCGUUUGUUAGUUAUUUAGUUAUGGCCAGGGUGGGAGUAUUGAUCACU